ACCUUGGGAGAGUUAAAUUCUCUGAACUGACAAAACUUUAAAGGAAUGAAAGAAGUCCUUUCGGAAGCUGCCUGAGGAGAAGGGAAACACCGUCUUGAUCAAUCCUUGGGGACCUGCACUCUCAGAGAUGGAUGUAGAACGAUUCUUUCUCUGGCCUUGGCUGAAUGAGUCUGUUUACAUAGCUUUUCUGACUCUUGCUUUUCCCUGUGGAUGUGGAGAGGUUUCUAAGGGCCUCAGAUUUAAAAUGCCAAAUACAGUGUGGAUUGAAUUUCAGUUCUCUUGGGUGGUCUAACAUCUCAUCUGAUGAAGGAAGGAAAGAAGAAGGAUUAUAAUAAUAACUACUUUCAUCAUCGUCAUCAGUAUUCCACCUAUACCUGAUCUCUCUGCCAGCCUGACAACAAUUACUAGCUUAAGUGAUUUAUUCAAGGAAUAAGGAACGAGGUGAAAUUCAAACUCACAUCUCUCUGAUUGUAAAACUGGUGCGUUUUCUACUACACCAAGCCUCCUCUUCAUCUUGAGGUAAGAAUGUUUUCCAUCUGAAUGCAUCUUUUAUAUUAUGAUGAAAGUCAGUGGAAAGAUAAAUUUAGCAAAAUUCACUUUAAACAUCUUCUGUGAGUCAAAUCCUUUUUGAAAAUUACAACCCCUAUGGUGCUUCAUAUUACAUCACUGAAGUUCAACCUGCUAAAUCCCUGCCCCUGCCAGUCACACCAGUGUCCUUGUUUCUGAGAAAAAGCCUUGGUUUUCUUUCCUGGGAGACAUGGAAUUAAUG
rnacentral:lncRNA from 1 species